rnacentral:rRNA from 1 species
UACCUGCAGUUCGAGUGGUAACCGCUAUUAUUGGGCCUAAAGCGUCCGUAGCCGGUUUGGUAAAUAUCUGGGUAAAUCGUGAGGCUUAACUUCACGAAUUUCGGAUAGACUGCCAGACUUGGGAUCGGGGGAGGUCAGAGGUACUCCAGGGGUAGCGGUGAAAUGUUGUAAUCCUUGGAGGACCACCGGUAGCGAAGGCGUCUGACUAGAACGAGUCCGACGGUGAGGGACGAAGCCCGGGGGCGCAAACCGGAUUAGAUACCCGGGUAGUCCAGGGUGUAAACAAUGUGGGCUUCGUAUUGGAGAUCCCACGUGGGUGUCCAGUGCAGAAGAGAAGUUGUUAAGCCCACCGCCUGGGAAGUACGGUCGCAAGGCUGAAACUUAAAGGAAUUGGCGGGGGAGCACAGCAACGGGAGGAGCGUGCGGUUU